rnacentral:lncRNA from 1 species
AGAUUAUUCUUCGGACUUGGACUCCGCUUUGGAUUGCCUUCUUUCAGCUUUGCUGCUUUGCUGAAGGCUGUGCAUCAGAGGUGCUUCUACCUGGGAGGACCUCCACCCCAUAACCUCUGUCACUCCCCAGACACUCUUUCUGCUCCAUAAUGACUGGUAGAAGAUGCCCUGGAUCUGCUAUACAGAAACAAAGAACAAGUAUCAAACUGGAUGUUAAACAGAAAUUGUAUGACCUUCAUGUUUCCUUCCAGGUAAUGAUCAUGAAAACAGAGGGUAAAGGUUGGCAGACAAUUAAGUGCCACUGAAGUCCUUUGACAUUAAGCAGGACAUCAUAAACAUAUUUUCAGUUUGGAGGGAUUUGACUAACAAUUCUGUAUCUGGAACAAAUGAUAGCUAUAGAUAUGAUACAACUCCAGGAGACUGGAAGAAAAUGUGAAAGCUAUUGGCAUUGUAGGAUGCUGGGACUGCGACUUUGUAAGAACUCUGUUAUAAUGAUCCGUAAAGGUGCUUUUCCAGUUAGAAAUGAAUGCGUGUUUUGCACUGAAAGAGGUAUGAAUGUACCCCAUAAUAUAUAACAUUACAUAACAUUUAGCCAAAACAAGUGGUCACUAACUGUUAGUUUCUUUAGCUUUCUACUAAGUCAAGUGUUAAUAUACCUACCAAUUUUGGAUUCCCACAGGGUACAAGACAGCAGCUAGACAGCCUUUUAAGCUAUCCUAGUAUAGUGAUAUUUGGAGACAACAAAUAUAGAACAAAAUAUUUGUUUUGCUUACUACCUUAUCCCUAGAGCAGUGUUUCUCAAUAGAGGCACUAUUGACAUUUGCAUUGGAUAAUUCUUUGUUGUGGGAAACUGUUCAAUGCAUAGUGGAUGCUUAGAGAAUGUUAGCCUGAUCUUGACUCACUAGAUGCCAGUAGUGUUUUCUCAGUUGUGAUAAUCAAAAAUGUCUCCAGCCACUGUCAGAUAUCCUCUAGACAGAAAAAUUCCCCACUGUUGAGAAACACGGAGUUACAACAUCAAAUAUAACAGACACUCAAGUGUUUGUUAAUGAAUAAAAAAUUGGAUGAAUGAAAUUUUUCCUGCUGUCCAUAUUCAUAUGAAUUUUUCAUUGUCUAAUAUAGCAAUAAUGCAGGAGAGGGGAAGGGAGUUAGAAAUUAGAUUUUAAAAGAGAGCAUUUUUGUUAGACACUAUACCUGGCCAACAGGAACAUGCAUUUGAAGUCUAAUCCUACGCAAACCAACAGAGAUCAUUCUAUCUUGUGAGCCCUUGAAUUACCUACCUACCGGAACUUCUCCCUGUUGGUGACUAAAAUUCCACCAAAGUAGAUGCUUUUUACUUUGAAGUUCCAUUUUCCUGAAGAGCUCUUUUAAAAAAUAAAUACACCAGGUAGAAUUAAUUGCUUAAUCCUUAUUGUUAACAAGAAAGGGAUCAUGCAUUUGAUUUUCUUCUACAUUACUAUGAGCACCGAGGGAGUCCUUGGGAUUUUGGAGAUUUUAGAGGUCACAUUGCAAAAAGGAGAUGGUAAAGGCAAACUUCACCAACAACUGAAUUUUAUCAAGUGGUUCUCACCAGUGUUAUUUGUUUAUUAAAUAAACACACAGUCUCUAGGAUACUUUCUUUGCAUGUUCCUUCUUCGAGGACAUGUAGAAAAUGUUAAAUACCCAAAUAUUCAAAAUCAUGAUACCCAGAAACUUGUUUGCUACUUUAAUUGCUAAUUUCAUGGUCGUCAUUCUUAAACAGUAGUAAAUUUGAAGACUAUACUUUCCAAUUUUGUAUUUCCAAAAUUGUUGAUAUCUGUGAAGAAUGAGUGCUAGAGCCUCUCAGAUUUGAUUCUAACAAGAAGUCUUAGCGAAGUCACAGUCUUUAAGCAUAAGCUGCUAAGGUGCUUUCUUCAGUACAGGCACUGGCAUCUGUUAUUCAAACCCUUGCUUGAGUUGAUUUCUGCUUAUUAUUCAUUAAAAUAUAUGUGUUAAAAUAAGCAUGCCCUGAUCUGAGCCUCUCACUUAGAUGUUGUUUCUCUCAUCUUUCCAGCAGGGUUGCAGUAAUCAUACCUACUAGAGAAUGAGGGCAUUUCCUUUGGUCAGUACGUAAUUACCAAGAUAGUCAUUACCAUCACUACAAAAGGCAGCAGGGAUGUUCUUCACAGAGAAAAAUUUGACAUGGAGCAAAUUGAGCUAUUCAUAGUGGUAGAGAGCUACCCUUCAAGCUAUCCAUAGGAUAGUGCAUUCAGUUCAAUUCAAUGUCCAUUUAUCAUAUACCUAUUGAUACUGAGGGGAGAAGAUUCAAUUAAAUAAAGCUACUUGCUGGGCAGAGGAGUAGAUUUCCUUUCUGAACAGUUAAAUGUUAUGGGCCAUUUUUUAUGUGUUCACUUACCUAGCCCUUGACAAAAUAAAAGCUAAUUAUGGCAAAAUUAAGAAGAUUUCACAAUCAGAGAUAUCAAUAUCUCUAUGGCUUCUCUGGGACAGGCACCACAUUAGUCUUUAAUGUUUUUGGAAGUCUUUCUAGACUUAUUCAUUGAUCUAUGUGAGAAAACUUUCUGAUGAAUGAUCUAGUAUGCAAAAUGUCCAUAGCAUUGGUAAAUAUCCUUACCUCCUGUAGCUGGUUUCUUUUAUAAUCUCUUUGUCUCAUGAAAAGAAAGGGCAAUUUAUAAUUUCUUAUUAAAUUUCUGGCUUGC